rnacentral:rRNA from 1 species
GUCUACAGCCACACCACCCUGAAUGUGCCUGAUCUUGUCUGAUCUAAGAAGCUAAGCAGGGUUGGGCCUGGUUAGUACUUAGAAGAUAGAAAUCUGCUUUCUCCAUCUC